AGGCCUUGCGCUCUUUGAGCGGCCGAUAUCAGAUUAGCUAGUUGGUGAGGUAAAGGCUCACCAAGGCGACGAUCUGUAGCGGGUCUGAGAGGAUGAUCCGCCACACUGGAACUGAGGCACGGUCCAGACUCCUACGGGAGGCAACAGUGGGGAAUUUUGGACAAUGGGGGCAACCCUGAUCCAGCCAUGCCGCGUGAGUGAAGAAGGCCUUCGGGUUGUAAAGCUCUUUCGGCCGGGAAGAAAUCGCAUGGGCCAAUACCCUGUGCGGAUGACGGUACCGGCAUAAGAAGCACCGGCUAACUACGUGCCAGCAGCCGCGGUAAUACGUAGGGUGCGAGCGUUAAUCGGAAUUACUGGGCGUAAAGCGAGCGCAGGCGGUUUUGUAAGACAGGCGUGAAAUCCCCGGGCUCAACCUGGGAACUGCGCUUGUGACUGCAAGGCUAGAGUACGGCAGAGGGGGGUGGAAUUCCACGUGUAGCAGUGAAAUGCGUAGAGAUGUGGAGGAACACCAAUGGCGAAGGCAGCCCCCUGGGUCGAUACUGACGCUCAUGCACGAAAGCGUGGGUAGCAAACAGGAUUAGAUACCCUGGUAGUCCACGCCCUAAACGAUGUCAACUAGGUGUUGGGUGGGUAAAACCAUUUAGUACCGGAGCUAACGCGUGAAGUUGACCGCCUGGGGAGUACGGCCGCAAGGUUAAAACUCAAAGGAAUUGACGGGGACCCGCACAAGCGGUGGAUGAUGUGGAUUAAUUCGAUGCAACGCGAAAAACCUUACCUACCCUUGACAUGUCCAGGAGCCUGAAGAGAUUUGGGUGUGCCCGAAAGGGAACUGGAACACAGGUGCUGCAUGGCUGUCGUCAGCUCGUGUCGUGAGAUGUUGGGUUAAGUCCCGCAACGAGCGCAACCCUUGUCGUUAAUUGCCAUCAUUCAGUUGGGCACUUUAACGAGACUGCCGGUGACAAACCGGAGGAAGGUGGGGAUGGCGUCAAGUCCUCAUGGCCCUUAUGGGUAGGGCUUCACACGUCAUACAAUGGUCGGUACAAAGGGUUGCCAAGCCGCGAGGUGGAGCCAAUCCCAGAAAGCCGAUCGUAGUCCGGAUCGUAGGCUGCAACUCGCCUGCGUGAAGUCGGAAUCGCUAGUAAUCGUGGAUCAGCAUGUCACGGUGAAUACGUUCCCGGGUCUUGUACACACCGCCCGUCACACCAUGGGAGCGGGUUCCGCCAGAAGUAGGUAGCCUAACCGCAAGGGGGGCGCUUACCACGGCGGGGUUCGUGACUGGGGUGAAGUCGUAACAAGGUA
rnacentral:rRNA from 1 species